rnacentral:rRNA from 1 species
GACGAACCGAGCGAACGUUGUUCGGAAUCACUGGGCUUAAAGGGCGCGUAGGCGGCCUGCCAAGUCAGGAGUGAAAUCUUCCGGCUCAACCGGAAAAGUGCUUUUGAUACUGGCGGGCUAGAGGGAGAUAGGGGCAUGUGGAACUUCCGGUGGAGCGGUGAAAUGCGUUGAUAUCGGAAGGAACGCCGGUGGCGAAAGCGACGUGCUGGACCUCUUCUGACGCUGAGGCGCGAAAGCCAGGGGAGCGAACGGG